CCUCCUGCUGGCUUUAAUGUUUGUUCCUUGAAAUUAAGCAUCUUUCUUGUUUUCUAGGACCCAGUUGGGGGGUCAUCUAACUCUGGAAGCACAUGAGCACACCCCACAGCUGACUGCAAGGCUCUCGUUACCCAUCAGUUCAUUUUCUCCACACUGUCACAUUUAAGGUGGAUGCACCGCUUUUCCUGAGUCCUAGGAAGAGGUCUGACUUGCAGGUGCCACAUGUCUCAUGUCACACAUGGAAAGGCAGCUUUGAGCCUAGGAUUAUGGCUUCCCCAAUAUUCACGCUCUAGGAGCCGUCUCAUCAGGAUUGUCUUCCCCAGCAUUGGAGCUUAGUUCUGAAGAGCAGCGUCAAUUUUCACUUCUCUGUGAGUCCUACAGAAGAGAUGAGCACGGCCAAUCGGUGGGUCAGAGUCCAAGUUGUACCCAGACCCAUCUCAGACCAGGGCACAUCUUAUUCCUUUCUAAUAAGAGACAAGGGAUCCUAGACAAAACUAGCUCCUACCAAGGUGUUGACAGCCUCAGGGUGUUCCUCGAAGAAAGGCAUCCAAGUAUUCACUGGACAGGGUAUAUUGGAUGGGACUUCUUGUCACCCUGCAAUUGAUGAGGUGGAGGACUCCAUGUUCCAUUAACAGCAAGAUUGGCUUCAUGGGCUGAUGACUUUUUUUUUUUUUGCGCUAAAUGGACAGAGCUGGAGAAGAGACCUAUUACCAAAUCUUAAGGCCAUGAAGCAUGGAAUGCUGAGGAAAGGGCAAGAAAAAGGAGGUGGCUGGAGAUAUCCUAUAUGUACGACUUGAUAUGAGGUGACUGAGGGAGCCACUAGGUAUGAGAUGGUGUGAGAUAGUUGGGGAAGUCAACAUGUAUGAGCUGAUGUGAGGUGGCUGAGGAAGCCACCAGGCAUGAGAUGAUGUAAGAAGCCCAUGAUGCAGCAGCCUGCCAGUUUCACACAGGGGGCUCAGGACAAAUGCCUUCUAUCCCCCAUCACAUGAUCUUGUAUAAUGCAAUCCAAUGGCAGAUACAACCUUAUGGCAACGUUUCCACAAAUAUUUAAGCAGUCAACAUAUCUAUUGAACCCUAAUAUGGUCCAUGUGUUGGAGCACAUAUGACUUUUAAAAUCAGGAAAAGCAAAUAAUAGAGGCAAAGGACAGUAAAUAACAGCAUAAGAAGAAACGAAUGGCACAUGACUCUGGCUUCACCAGCUGCUCUACCCCAGAAUUAACCCAGCAAAAGCUUCUCCAGAGAAGGGCCGGUUGAACUAAGACAAAUGAAAGAUGUGGCUGAAAUCUGUCUGGGCAUAACUGAAAAUAAAACCGCAUCAGAAUGAUCUACAAUGGACUUAACCGGCACCAUCAUGUUACUGCCGAAUUUUAACUAAGAACCAAAAUGGUUAGUUCCUGCCAGAACAUGACUUACUGAGGAAUGAAUACGGGGUAAAACUUCAGGCAAACAGACAAAAGGUGCAUCUCCGAAGACGGCAGCGUGGCACAAAUGUGCACAGUGAAGAGAGCCCCUGGGAGAAGACCCGCUCCUGGACACAUCACAUGUGGAGGGACAUCAUCUGGUCUGCAGCUGGAGGGUGUGCCGACCAAACAGGUGCUGGGCGACCUCUGAGGAGGCCUCACCUCCUUUUGUGCCAUUACAUAGCUAUAGAGAGAGAACGAUAUUUCCAAGAACUGCAAGAUAGAAGGAACUGGUCAAAGGUAACAGAGAAAGACUCUGAAACACAUUUUGAUCGAAGACACAUCGGACAUCUACCGAGAUAACAGGACCGUAAUGUGCACCACUGUGGGUGAGAAUGUCAGGCGUCAGAGGUGGAGAACCAGAUGAAAAGAUUGACUGAGACAUCCUAACCAAUCCCCAUAGCCCCCUUGAUGAUCAAGCACAGACCUGGAACUCACCAUUAGGCCACUUCCCUUCUCCCAAACCUCUCAGUAAGCACUGUGCACACAGUAAU